CCCCUCGUAGCUCAAUGGCUAGAGCGUUCGGCUGUAGACCGAAAGGUUCCCGGUUCGAGAAGCGCCUUUUAGGAAAAGUCGCGUCAAAACUGAGGGUUCAACUUCGUUGAAGCCCUCGGUAACGAAACAACCUAAACCGCUUAGAAAAUCUGGGCGAGGGGA
rnacentral:tRNA from 1 species